UAAGCCUGUGAAGGUGGCCUGUGAGGGUUGCUGGAGGUAUCAGAAGUGCGAAUGCUGACAUAAGUAACGAUAAAGCGGGUGAAAAGCCCGCUCGCCGGAAGACCAAGGGUUCCUGUCCAACGUUAAUCGGGGCAGGGUGAGUCGACCCCUAAGGCGAGGCCGAAAGGCGUAGUCGAUGGGAAACGGGUUAAUAUUCCCGUACUUGGUGUUACUGCGAAGGGGGGACGGAGAAGGCUAUGUUGGCCGGGCGACGGUUGUCCCGGUUUAAGCGUGUAGGUGUGUGUUCC
rnacentral:rRNA from 1 species